CCUAUAAGGAUUCGCUACAGAGUGUUCUCUGCCCUUAACUAUUAAAAAGGAAAUUAUUCUGCCGAUAACAAAGAAAUCCAACAACAGUCUUCAAUUUCAAAUCCCAUAGGCAAGAGGAAAGAGCGUCGCCUCGCAGCUCUCAGCAACGCCGGCCGUCGCGUCAAGCUCGAUCUCUCUGCCAAACCCUCUGGAGAUUUGGGUGGCUGCUCUGUAAAUUGUGAAGUUGGAACAGACAUAGAUCCAACACAACGUUCUGGAUUACCCAAUUCAACUUCAUCUUCAGGUCAACAACCACAGAAUCCUCUUCUGUUACUUGGACAAUAUAGCGAUGAUGAAUUGGAUAAGGAAUCAAGUAAAAGCCCAAACCAUGCUGUUGCUGAGAAUUCCCCUUCAGACCAUAUUGAUAAGGUAAUUUAGCAUAUGCUGCUUAGUCUUUCAUUGAGACUGUAAUAUAUUUUGGAUGGAAAAUGUAAAGCUCAAGCUUUUUUUAAAGCCAUGUUAGCCGUCAAUGUAGACCCUUAUUUUGUGUGAU